rnacentral:rRNA from 1 species
AGAAUCAACGCUGGCGGCGUGCCUAACACAUGCAAGUCGCACGAGAAAGGGACUUCGGUCUUGAGUAAAGUGGCGCACGGGUGAGUAGCACGUGACUAAUCUACCCUCGAGUGGGGAAUAACUGAGAGAAAUCUUAGCUAAUACCGCAUAAUACUUACGAGUCAAAGCAGCAAUGCGCUUGGGGAGGAGGUCGCGGCCGAUUAGCUAGUUGGCGGGGUAAUGGCCCACCAAGGCGAUGAUCGGUA